GCUGAGAAUGAUCCAGUUCGUAACCAAAUAAUCCUCGGGUUUCUCGGGGAAAGAUGAGUCCUUGAAAAAUACUGCAGAGGGAGCUCGAAGCCUGGGAGUGCUUCGGACCUGGCUUUGAAUUCACGGUCCUUGCUGGAAGAGCCGGGCAAAGAGAGCAUGAAAGGAUUCACUUCAGCAGAGCCCUCGGGGAAGUGUCAGCCACCAGGACAUCCAGGCAAAACCACCCAUCUGGGGACUGCAAAAAUGGCAAAGUGUGGGGCUGUCCUGAGACAGGAUGAAGAUGGAGCUGAAGUUCAUGUUGAUUUGCUCGCAGGAGUUUCACCGUUCCUUCCCUGCUCACAACUCCCCUUUUCCACUGCCAGCAGUGCCUGAGGAGAACAAAAUGCCCAAACAGUUCCAGGAGUCAGAGCCCACCAGCCUGCAGACACACAGGGCACACACACCAUCUCUUGCAGUAAAUCCAGAGCAGUCUGGCCUGCUGGGAUUUAUUACUUCCCCACUUGCUGGCUAAUUACCUGCAAUUGCCUUCCUUCAUUACCUGGAGAUGUAUUUCAGAGAAUAAUGCCUUGAGAAAUGUGAGCUACUCCUGUAAUUACACACUGCUGCCAUGACAGAUGGGAAUUCCAGGCUCAGCUCCAUUCCUCCCACAGGACCAAAACCUUCCAGCUUCCACCUCCACACCAGACCCACGGCAUUGCCUGGCUUGGUGUGGUUGGGAUGGCAUGUGGGAACAGUGGCAGAGGCUGCCCCAUCACCUACCUACAAGAGGAAUCCAUCCUCUUUCCAGAAAAACUAACUUGGGUCUGAGAACAGCAGGCAAAAGCCUUUUCUUCCUCUCUUCUCUACUGUGCAUCUUUUCCUUAGCUCUAUCUCAUAGUUCAGCUGGAGAAGAUACCCACUAUUUUCUCAUUUAGCAGUAAAAAUAGGGAAUAACCUUUUCUUCUCUUGUAAGAUUGCUUAACCACAUGCCUCUUGCUCUGAAAAAUGGACUUUAUUACACUUAAGCUUGUUCAGCAUGAACACUCUGCUAAAUAUUUUGUGUUUUGAUUCUUGUUUCUCAUGGCCAUCUGAACAGUUACAUCUCCUGUUUUGGCAUGAAUUUUUUUCCAGAGAUGGUACUAAACCAGAUGAAAGCUAUGACCUCAGAAUCUUCAAUUUUCUUGGAUUUUCCAAGGCUUUUGCCUCAUGGCAACCAGCACAAUGGUGAACCCAACUCUUUACUGCUCUCACAACGCAUCUGCAUCAAUUUAUUUUGGCUUUAGCAGACACUGAAGAUUAGAAAAGUAACCUACAAAAACUGUCAGGAGUUUUUAUUUUAUCCAAAAUGAAACCAAUCACUCAAUACCCUCAUGCUUAACCUCAUGCAAAGCACACUGGAGGGAAUCAAUGGGAAUAUUUUCUUUGGCUUCAGGUGGCUGACAUAGUCUUAAAAAUUAGGAUAGAGUUAAAAUUCAAAACAAGCCACAUUCAUAGUUAGUUUUUUCUUCAGAAAGGCCUGUUGGGCUAAAAAAAGAAGGUUAAAAAAAGAACUUUGGUUUUUCUCUGCUAUACUAAAAAUGGCAUGAUGUGUUUGGUUUUGGAAUAAAUAGUGCUCGAAUGUGCAAAGAA